rnacentral:lncRNA from 1 species
UGCAGCAAGAGUUGAUCUCAAAUGGUUUGAGCUUCCCGUUGAUGAGCAAAGUUAAUGGUAGUAUUCCUGAAGAGAUGAAUUCACUGGACUGUGAACUGGAACUUGCUCAGUCUUCUGAGGUGUGAAUCAGAUCCUCUUGAAUCUUAUCCCAGUUGUCUUGCAUCAGUAAAUUAAAAACAAAGCUCAUUUUCUGCAGAUUGCUAUAUAAUCCUAGAGUUAGGAUUCAUUAGUCCUAGCACAUAAGCAUAGAAUGUGAGGGUUAGAGUGUUGUUUUAAGUAUAUCAGAGAAAGUCC